rnacentral:rRNA from 1 species
AUGGACCUACCAGUGCAUGGGCUAGCCAACUCGUCCUCUUCAGGGAGCAGCAAUAACAAGAGCAUAUGGGAUCUUAUUUGGAAGGUGGCUGUCCCAGAGAACAUAAAAUCUUUGCGUGGAGAGUCGCAACAAACACUCUUGCCACCAAAGAAUAAGUUCAGGCGUACACUGGAACUGGAUAGCACCUGUAACAUAUGUGGAAAUGCAGAAGAGGAGGAGUUCCAUAGUGUGGUGGAAUGCACGAAGAGCAAAGCCUUGAGAUCGGCCAUGAGAGUAGUGUGGCCCCUACCGGUAGAAUUUGCAUUUAGAAACACUGGUUGUGAUUGGCUGCAGAUGCUACUUGAUUCAUGCAAUGCUGAUAUGAGGAAUAAAGUUUUGUUGCUACUAUGGAGAGCUUGGUUCUUACGCGAGAACUGUGUGCAUGGGGAUGGGAAGGAAUCCAUAUCUAGGUCAGUGUCCUUCUGGACCAGGUAUGAGGAGGAAAUUAGAAACUACACCGUUGACACAGUAAAUGAGAAGGGUAAAGUUCACGUGGGAGGGAGAACGGAUACCAUAGUGAAGCUGUAUAAUGAUGCAGGCAAUCGGUGGAUUGUGCCCCCAGAGGCCAGUGCUAAAAUGAAUGCAGAUGCAUCAUUCCACGCAGACUCGGGAUAG